rnacentral:misc_RNA from 1 species
AGUUGUCAUACAACAAAUUAUCCCAUCACAGCCGAGAGUAUCAAGCCAAGUCCAUAAGUAGAACAAUCUUCCCAGCUUCCACAACUGAGAUUCACGAGCACAUUGCUCUCUCCAAUAAUUCUUGCAAUUCCCCACUCUUAUAUGCCUCAACAGUGAUAUCACAGCCACCGUAGAACUCUCCAUCUAUAUAAAGUUGAGGAAA